rnacentral:rRNA from 1 species
CGGGUUAGAUUAGCCAUGCAUGUGUAGUUUAAGACCAAGUAGGAUGAAACUGCGGACGGCUCAUUAUAACAGUAAUAGUUUCUUUGGUUAGUAUUUACAAGGAUAACUUUGUGAAUGAUAAAGCUAAUACUUGAGACGAUCCGGGAAGUAUUUAUAUUUUCCGGCCCCGGGCGGCAGGGUGGGGGAGAAACGACUUUCUCUUGUGAAAAAGGAGGCCCCGACAAUUGAGGAAAGCGACGCUUUUAACAAGUAACCAAGGGGAAUUUCUGAUCUAUCAUUUUGUUGGUAGUAUCGAGGACUACCAAAAUUAUAACGGAUAACGAGGAAUGGGGGUUCGACUUCGGAAAGGAAGCUUUACAGAUGGCUACCACUUCUAAGGAAGGCAGCAGGCGCGUAAUUUACCCACUUUCGACCCGAAGAGGUAGUGACGACAAAUAACUCUUGGCCCCCUCGGGUACUUGAAGAAUGAAUUAAAGAAAUUCUCUAAGAAAUCAAUGGAGGGAAGUCUGGUGCCACACCGCGUUAUUCCAGCUCCAAUAGGGA